rnacentral:rRNA from 1 species
GACGAACGCUGGCGGCGUGCUUAACACAUGCAAGUCGAACGGAAAGGCCCUGCUUUUGUGGGGUGCUCGAGUGGCGAACGGGUGAGUAACACGUGAGUAACCUGCCCUUGACUUUGGGAUAACUUCAGGAAACUGGGGCUAAUACCGGAUAGGAGCUCCUGCUGCAUGGUGGGGGUUGGAAAGUUUCGGCGGUUGGGGAUGGACUCGCGGCUUAUCAGCUUGUUGGUGGGGUAGUGGCUUACCAAGGCUUUGACGGGUAGCCGGCCUGAGAGGGUGACCGGCCACAUUGGGACUGAGAUACGGCCCCGACUCCUACGGGAGGCAGCAGGGGGGAAUAUUGCACAAUGGGCGGAAGCCUGAUGGAGCAACGCCGCGUGCGGGAUGACGGCCUUCGGGUUGUAAACCGCUUUCGCCUGUGACGAAGCGUGAGUGACGGUAAUGGGUAAAGAAGCACCGGCUAACUACGUG